AGGACGAACGCUGGCGGCGUGCUUAACACAUGCAAGUCGAGCGGUAAGGCCUUUCGGGGUACACGAGCGGCGAACGGGUGAGUAACACGUGGGUGAUCUGCCCUGCACUCUGGGAUAAGCCUGGGAAACUGGGUCUAAUACCGGAUAUGACCUGCUCUCGCAGUGGGGGUGGGUGGAAAGAUUUAUCGGUGCAGGAUGGGCCCGCGGCCUAUCAGCUUGUUGGUGGGGUAAUGGCCUACCAAGGCGACGACGGGUAGCCGACCUGAGAGGGUGACCGGCCACACUGGGACUGAGACACGGCCCAGACUCCUACGGGAGGCAGCAGUGGGGAAUAUUGCACAAUGGGCGAAAGCCUGAUGCAGCGACGCCGCGUGAGGAUGAAGGCCUUCGGGUUGUAAACCUCUUUCAGCAGGACGAAGCGCAAGUGACGUACUGCAGAAGAAGCACCGGCUAACGUACGUGCCAGCGAGCCCGA
rnacentral:rRNA from 1 species